AGAGUUUGAUCCUGGCUCAGAUUGAACGCUGGCGGCAGGCUUAACACAUGCAAGUCGAGCGGUAACAGAGAUAGCUUGCUAUCUGCUGACGAGCGGCGGACGGGUGAGUAAUGCUUGGGAAUAUGCCUUUGAGUGGGGGACAACAGUUGGAAACGACUGCUAAUACCGCAUAACGUCUACGGACCAAAGGGGGGGAUCUUCGGACCUCUCGCUCAUUGAUUAGCCCAAGUGAGAUUAGCUAGUUGGUAAGGUAAUGGCUUACCAAGGCGACGAUCUCUAGCUGGUUUGAGAGGAUGAUCAGCCACACUGGGACUGAGACACGGCCCAGACUCCUACGGGAGGCAGCAGUGGGGAAUAUUGCACAAUGGGCGAAAGCCUGAUGCAGCAAAUGCCGCGUGUGUGAAGAAGGCCUGCGGGUUGUAAAGCACUUUCAGUGGGGAGGAAACAGUUGCGGGUUAAUAUCCCGUGGCCUUGACGUUACCCACAGAAGAAGCACCGCUAACU
rnacentral:rRNA from 1 species